rnacentral:rRNA from 1 species
AANGGGCGAANCCCUGAUGCAGCAACGCCGCGNUGAAGGGAUGACGGCCUUCGGGUUGUAAACCUCUUUCAGUAGGGAAGAAGCGAAAGUGACGGUACCUACAGAAGAAGCACCGGCUAACUACGUGCCAGCAGCCGCGGUAAUACGUAGGGUGCGAGCGUUGUCCGGAUUUAUUGGGCGUAAAGAGCUUGUAGGCGGUUUGUCGCGUCUGCUGUGAAAAUCCGAGGCUCAACCUCGGACCUGCAGUGGGUACGGGCAGACUAGAGUGUGGUAGGGGAGACUGGAAUUCCUGGUGUAGCGGUGAAAUGCGCAGAUAUCAGGAGGAACACCGAUGGCGAAGGCAGGUCUCUGGGCCACAACUGACGCUGAGAAGCGAAAGCGUGGGGAGCGAACAGGAUUAGAUACCCUGGUAGUCCACGCCGUAAACGUUGGGCGCUAGGUGUGGGACUCAUUCCACGAGUUCCGUGCCGCAGCUAACGCAUUAAGCGCCCCGCCUGGGGAGUACGGCCGCAAGGCUAAAACUCAAAGGAAUUGACGGGGGCCCGCACAAGCGGCGGAGCAUGUGGAUUAAUUCGAUGCAACGCGAAGAACCUUACCAAGGCUUGACAUAUACCGGAAACACUCAGAGAUGGGUGCCCCGCAAGGUCGGUAUACAGGUGGUGCAUGGUUGUCGUCAGCUCGUGUCGUGAGAUGUUGGGUUAAGUCCCGCAACGAGCGCAACCCUCGUUCUAUGUUGCCAGCGCGUAAUGGCGGGGACUCAUAGAAGACUGCCGGGGUCAACUCGGAGGAAGGUGGGGAUGACGUCAAAUCAUCAUGCCCCUUAUGUCUUGGGCUUCACGCAUGCUACAAUGGCCGGUACAAAGGGCUGCGAAAUCCCGAGAUGGAGCGAAUCCCCAAAAAACCGGUCUCAGUUCGGAUUGGGGUCUGCAACUCNACCCCA